rnacentral:rRNA from 1 species
CUCCAAGGCUAAAUACUCCUGACUGACCGAUAGUGAACCAGUACCGUGAGGGAAAGGCGAAAAGAACCCCGGCGAGGGGAGUGAAAAAGAACCUGAAACCGUGUACGUACAAGCAGUGGGAGCACGCUUAGGCGUGUGACUGCGUACCUUUUGUAUAAUGGGUCAGCGACUUAUAUUCUGUAGCAAGGUUAACCGAAUAGGGGAGCCGAAGGGAAACCGAGUCUUAACUGGGCGUUAAGUUGCAGGGUAUAGACCCGAAACCCGGUGAUCUAGCCAUGGGCAGGUUGAAGGUUGGGUAACACUAACUGGAGGACCGAACCGACUAAUGUUGAAAAAUUAGCGGAUGACUUGUGGCUGGGGGUGAAAGGCCAAUCAAACCGGGAGAUAGCUGGUUCUCCCCGAAAGCUAUUUAGGUAGCGCCUCGUGAAUUCAUCUCCGGGGGUAGAGCACUGUUUCGGCAAGGGGGUCAUCCCGACUUACCAACCCGAUGCAAACUGCGAAUACCGGAGAAUGUUAUCACGGGAGACACACGGCGGGUGCUAACGUCCGUCGUGAAGAGGGAAACAACCCAGACCGCCAGCUAAGGUCCCAAAGUCAUGGUUAAGUGGGAAACGAUGUGGGAAGGCCCAGACAGCCAGGAUGUUGGCUUAGAAGCAGCCAUCAUUUAAAGAAAGCGUAAUAGCUCACUGGUCGAGUCGGCCUGCGCGGAAGAUGUAACGGGGCUAAACCAUGCACCGAAGCUGCGGCAGCGACGCUUAUGCGUUGUUGGGUAGGGGAGCGUUCUGUAAGCCUGCGAAGGUGUGCUGUGAGGCAUGCUGGAGGUAUCAGAAGUGCGAAUGCUGACAUAAGUAACGAUAAAGCGGGUGAAAAGCCCGCUCGCCGGAAGACCAAGGGUUCCUGUCCAACGUUAAUCGGGGCAGGGUGAGUCGACCCCUAAGGCGAGGCCGAAAGGCGUAGUCGAUGGGAAACAGGUUAAUAUUCCUGUACUUGGUGUUACUGCGAAGGGGGGACGGAGAAGGCUAUGUUGGCCGGGCGACGGUUGUCCCGGUUUAAGCGUGUAGGCUGGU